ACUUGGAAGGUAGAUGGAAAAAAAGUCAAUUGUCUGUUUUAACAUAGGAGUUCAUCAAAUUCUCUUACAGAGACUGGGGGAAUACCAUCAUCUGGGCUUUGGUGCUGGUGCCCAGCAUCUCCACAGUGUUCAGAGCAGUCCCUGCUCUGGGACACAUUAGCCUAAGGCCCAGGAUGGUUAUGGCUUUAUACUGAGCUGAAUCCUGGAGCAAAUUGGCAAAAAAUGCUGCAAAAGAGGAUCUUCAUUAGUGUGAGUGUAAAACUUGAGAGCACACAUAAGUCAGGUGUAAGCAAUAUUGGCACUGGAGCAAAGCACCUCUCGGGCUGGGCUGCAGCAGAGGCCUGUCAGCAGGCUCCUAGCAUCAGACAUGUAUUAGUUGUGUCAGGAAUUAGUGAGAGUUCACUGACUGAAUAAUAAUGUGCCAAAGGCAGUUUUUCAUCUUUACAAAUGUAAUUAAAGAAAGCAGGGGGAAAAAUUAUUGCACCAGGGGAGGAACCAGGGCUUCCAACGGUGUUGACUGCUGUCUCUAUUGCAAGGAUGAGAUGUGAAAUGCGGAGGGGAGAGGGUAAAGAUGGCAAUGAGGGCCUGAGCAGUGAUGAGGAUCAUGCAAUUACAGCUGUGAUGGGGGCGUUGCUCUUUACAGAAAAGGAAGGCAAUGGGAAAACAGAAGUGCUGUCCUUGUGACUCAGGAGCUGGACCCAUCCCCAAGGAUGGGGCUCCCACCGCAGCCAUGAGCACGCCCUUCAGGAAACCGGUUAUGGGUCGGCCCCUGCCCAGGCUGUGUUGGAGCAGGUGGGAAAAGCUGCACAAUCUGGGACUGGCUCCCCCUUCUCCUCAGCCAUUCCUGAACAUUCUUAGUGUUGGUUGCAGCAUUGGUGACACAACCCCAAACUGUCCCCUGCCUUGGGCAGGUAUCUGCUCCAUUUAUGUCUCCUCAAAGAGGUGCUGCAGGGGCCAUGCUGUGACACUGCCUGCACCCCGGGAGCAGUGGGCAUGUCCCCACUGUCCAGUGGCCCCUGCAACAUCCUCAGACAUUGCUCUCCAGCAUCCCCAACAGCUGCUGGUGCCAUUAUUUCAAUAGUGACUACUGGUACCUGGUCAUCAGAAAUCCCAUCAGGCACACUCCAAAACUGCCUCUCAUGGUAGUGACAGCAGCAGGAAAGAGAAGACUCCCACAGUGUUUUUAAUAGCAGGUCAGCAAUUACCAGGCUACGACCCCUCUAACUGCUGCAACUGUGGAGAUGCUACCAAAGGCUGAUCGAUACUAGUCUGAGGAAUCAAUAUGGACGUGGAUGACGGUGCUGUUUGCCAUUCAGAACCUGCACAAGCUGGAAAAAACAGGGCACCAUUGAUCCCAAAGAUUCAAAUUCCUUGCCUGGGAAUUGUCCCAGGUGCUCCUGCCCUGUACUGGAGUCAUACCUGCAGAUCAAACAGCUGCUUCUGAAGAAAAAUAAUAAGGCUUAAGUUUGAAGAAGUCCAUAGAGCAAAGGGCAGCAGCAGCACUGGAGCAGCAAAGCUGCCUUCCAUCCACACCAGCACCCAGCAAGGUCUCUGAGCUCCCGUGCAAGUUGCUGGUAUCAGCACCCCAUGGCUGUGAGGUCCUUUGCUUCUCCCAUGCCUUCUGGUAAGUUUGACGCUGGAUGAGACUGCCCUGCACCUAGAAUAGUAGUGCCUUCUCCUUGGACAGAGGUGGGUAAAACCCAGGAAUAUCCACCUGGACACAAGCAAGGUGCCUGCCUCUGCAGGAGAUGCUGUGUGCACAGGGGUGGGUGGAUCGAGCCUCGCAGCUUGUUCAUAUUUCCCCCACACAAGUCACAGAAACAAACAUCCGCCAUCUGGUCAGCGUUAAAGCGAUGGCCAGGAAGAGGAUCCCACACGUCUUCAUCUUCUCCUCCUCAGCAAUUACCUUCCUUUCAGUGCCAUCUGAGAGCUUUCUCCUUCCUAUUUGAUCUUCCUUCUCCAUCCUGCUCCCAAAGCACAUGCUGUCCCCUGCCCAACAGCACUGGGAAAUGCUCAGAGUCACUCAGUGGGAAUGCAUCCAACCUCCCCAGUCCAGCCCAGCAGUAAUGUGGAGCCACAGGCAUGAUGCUGCUGGGGAGGUGGCUCCAGUCCUCAUUUCUUCCCCUUCAAAUGAAGGAUCUGGUUGAUGGGUACCUGCCAGCACCACAGCACACACAGGGAGGUACCUCUCCCCAGCCCAGAUUUAGCUGCUCGCACACAGAAUUCAGCAAAACCCCCUACACAUCACAGCUCAGCCAGUCCUGACCUUCCAGGUAACUUGCCUGCUUCCAAGCUAACCAGGGCAUUCAACACAAACACCAGAGGGGUUAAUGCCCAAAACGAUUCAAGGAAAAAAAAAAAAUGGGGUCCUUUUUUAAUUAGGAAGAAUAUAAGAGACAGAUAAUAUGUCUGAUUAAUUAUGGCUGUCUUUCUUCCAGUGCCGCUGCAUCUGGGGACACUGGAAAGCAGUUCCUAAUGGUACUGCUUUAUCUAAGAGGAUGAUGGAUAGUGG